GGAAAUGUGCCUGAGCCUUAAGGGUUACUUUGAUAGAGUGAAACACAGAGAAUAAAACCUCUCAUUUCC
rnacentral:tRNA from 1 species